UCAAACCAGGCGUGCCUGUGG
rnacentral:miRNA from 1 species